GCAGCUAACGCGAUAAGCACUCCGCCUGGGGAGUACGGCCGCAAGGGUGAAACUCAAAGGAAUUGACGGGGGCCCGCACAAGCGGUGGAGCAUGUGGUUUAAUUUGAAGCAACGCGAAGAACCUUACCAGGUCUUGACAUCCCCUGACAACCCAAGAGAUUGGGCGUUCCCCCUUUGGGGGGACAGGGUGACAGGUGGUGCAUGGUUGUCGUCAGCUCGUGUCGUGAGAUGUUGGGUUAAGUCCCGCAACGAGCGCAACCCUCGCCUCUAGUUGCCAGCACGAAGGUGGGCACUCUAGAGGGACUGCCGGCGACAAGUCGGAGGAAGGUGGGGAUGACGUCAAAUCAUCAUGCCCCUUAUGACCUGGGCUACACACGUGCUACAAUGGGCGGUACAAAGGGCUGCGAACCCGCGAGGGGGAGCGAAUCCCAAAAAGCCGCUCUCAGUUCGGAUUGCAGGCUGCAACUCGCCUGCAUGAAGCCGGAAUCGCUAGUAAUCGCGGAUCAGCAUGCCGCGGUGAAUACGUUCCCGGGCCUUGUACACACCGCCCGUCACACCACGAGAGCUUGCAACACCCGAAGUCGGUGAGGUAACCCUUACGGGAGCCAGCCGCCGAAGGUGGGGCAAGUGAUUGGGGUGAAGUCGUAACAAGGUAGCCGUACC
rnacentral:rRNA from 1 species